CCUACGGGAGGCAGCAGUGGGGAAUAUUGGGCAAUGGGCGCAAGCCUGAACCAGCAACGCCGCGUGAAGGAAGAAGGCUCUCGGGUUGUAAACUUCUUUUUUCAGGGACGAAGCAAGUGACGGUACCGGAGGAAUAAGCCACGGCUAACGACGUGCCAGCAGCCGCGGCAAUACGGAGGUGGCAGUCGUUAUCCGGAUUUACUGGGUGUAAAGGGAGUGCAGGUGGGACUGGAAGUCAGAUGGGAAAACUACGGGGUCAACCUGUGGCCUGCAUUUGAAACCGUAGUUCUUGAGUACUGGAGAGGUAGGCGGAAUGCGUAGUGUAGCGGUGAAAUGCGUAGAUAUUAGGAGGAACACCGGUGGCGAAGGCAGUCUGCUGGACAGCAACUGACGCUGAGGCGCGAAAGCGUGGGGAGCAAACAGGAUUAGAUACCCUUGUAGUC
rnacentral:rRNA from 1 species